GUAACAAGGUUUCCGUAGGUGAACCUGCGGAAGGAUCAUUACUGAGUGCGGGCUGCCUCCGGGCGCCCAACCUCCCACCCGUGAAUACCUAACACUGUUGCUUCGGCGGGGAGCUCCCUCGGGGGCGAGCCGCCGGGGACUACUGAACUUCAUGCCUGAGAGUGAUGCAGUCUGAGUCUGAAUAUAAAAUCAGUCAAAACUUUCAACAAUGGAUCUCUUGGUUCCGGCAUCGAUGAAGAACGCAGCGAACUGCGAUAAGUAAUGUGAAUUGCAGAAUUCAGUGAAUCAUCGAGUCUUUGAACGCACAUUGCGCCCCCUGGCAUUCCGGGGGGCAUGCCUGUCCGAGCGUCAUUGCUGCCCAUCAAGCCCGGCUUGUGUGUUGGGUCGUCGUCCCCCCCGGGGGACGGGCCCGAAAGGCAGCGGCGGCACCGUGUCCGGUCCUCGAGCGUAUGGGGCUUUAUCACCCGCUCGACUAGGGCCGGCCGGGCGCCAGCCGACGUCUCCAACCAUUUUUCUUCAGGUUGACCUCGGAUCAGGUAGGGAUACCCGCUGAACUUAAGCAUAUCAAUAAGCGGAGGAAAAGAAACCAACCGGGAUUGCCUCAGUAACGGCGAGUGAAGCGGCAAGAGCUCAAAUUUGAAAUCUGGCCCCUCCGGGGUCCGAGUUGUAAUUUGCAGAGGAUGCUUCGGGUGCGGCCCCUGUCUAAGUGCCCUGGAACGGGCCGUCAGAGAGGGUGAGAAUCCCGUCUUGGGCAGAGUGCCCGUGCCCGUGUGAAGCUCCUUCGACGAGUCGAGUUGUUUGGGAAUGCAGCUCAAAAUGGGUGGUAAAUUUCAUCUAAAGCUAAAUACCGGCCGGAGACCGAUAGCGCACAAGUAGAGUGAUCGAAAGAUGAAAAGCACUUUGA
rnacentral:misc_RNA from 1 species